rnacentral:snRNA from 1 species
AUCGCUUCUCGGCCUUUUGGCUAAGAUCAAGGGUAGUAUCAAAAAUACGUUCCAAGGAAUUCAAAUUACACGAUUUUCCAAACCUAACCUAACUCCUCAAGUGUUGUCAUGUAUAUUUUUUUUAGUGUUGUAAUAUUUUAAUCAUGGCAGGAGCUAU